rnacentral:misc_RNA from 1 species
GACGAAGAACGCAGCGAAAUGCGAUAAGUAAUGUGAAUUGCAGAAUUCAGUGAAUCAUCGAAUCUUUGAACGCACAUUGCGCCCGCCAGUAUUCUGGCGGGCAUGCCUGUUCGAGCGUCAUUACAACCCUCAGGCCCCCGGGCCUGGCGUUGGGGAUCGGCGGAGCCCCCCGUGGGCACACGCCGUCCCCCAAAUACAGUGGCGGUCCCGCCGCAGCUUCCAUCGCGUAGUAGCUAACACCUCGCGACUGGAGAGCGGCGCGGCCACGCCGUAAAACACCCAACUCUUCUGAAGUUGACCUCGAAUCAGGUAGGAAUACCCGCUGAACUUAAGCAUAUCAAUAAGCGGAGGA